UCUCCGUUGGUGAACCAGCGGAGGGAUCAUUACCGAGUUUACAACUCCCAAACCCUAUGUGAACCUUACCUUCUGUUGCUUCGGCGGGAUCGCCCUGGCGCUUCACGGCGCCGGGUCUCAGCGCCCGCCGGAGGCCCAAAACUCUUGUUUAUUUAUGUUUCCUCUCCGAGUGGCACAAGCAAAAUAAAUCCAAACUUUCAACAACGGAUCUCUUGGUUCUG
rnacentral:misc_RNA from 1 species